CAAUGUUACCAUCGGUCAACUUUGGCCCGUAGGCCUAGAUUGGGCAUCUCUGCACUGGAGGAAGAGUAAAAGUGGGUAAAUCUCUAUUUUUGGGUGACCUAUAGCUUAAUGUUAAUUAUAGAUCUCCGAUAAAGCAGCAAUGGAGUUUAUUUUUUCGCGGAAUAAGCCACAGGUAACGCUACUAAACAAACACAUGGAAAUACGACGUAAUGUUGUGCACAAAUAACACAUUAUGGUCAUGAAAAGCGAGGAAGAGGGGAAAACGACGCUAUUUGUCAGUCCAGCUACAUGAUGGACUACAGUGCCCAGUUUCGCAGGGAGGCCACCGGUGAGCUGACCCUUAAACCAUCACCUGAGGCAGUAGCUCUUGCUGCUGCCUACAGGAAAAAUCCCACCCCGGGCCGUUCAUGGCCUGCGGUAAGGGUCAAGGAGGAGGCCAUCGCUCGCGUGGCAGCAGC